rnacentral:rRNA from 1 species
AGCUAAUAGAUACCCAGGUAGUCCACGCCCUAAACGAUGUCUACUAGUUGUUGGUGGAGUAAAAUCCAUGAGUAAACGCAGCUAACGCGUGAAGUAGACCGCCUGGGGAGUACGGUCGCAAGAUUAAAACUCAAAGGAAUUGACGGGGGCCCGCACAAGCGGUGGAUUAUGUGGAUUAAUUCGAUGCAACGCGAAAACCUUACCUGGCCUUGACAUGCCACUAACGAAGCAGAGAUGCAUUAGGUCGCCCGGUAAGGGAAAGUGGACACAGGUGCUGCAGUGGCUGUCGUCAGCUCGUGUCGUGAGAUGUUAGGGUUAACGUCCCGCAACGAGCGCAACCCUAGCCAUUAAUUGCCAUCAUUUAGUUGGGCUACUUUAAUGGGACUGCCGGUGACAAACCGGAGGAAGGUGGGGAUGACGUCAAGUCCUCAUGGCCCUUAUGGCCGAGGGCUCCACACGUAAUACAAUGGUCGGUACAGAGAGUUGCCAACCCGCGAGGGGAGCUAAUCUCAGAAAGCCGAUCGUAGUCCGGAUUGUUCUCU